CCCUCUUCCUGGCUGCUAAAGUUGACACAAGACGGCUUCUUGGAACUCCCCCUCCUCCCGCCUAAAUGUACAGAGCAAGACUUGAAGUCAAAAGAUAGAUAGCGAUCGUGCUGAAAGUCAGGUGGAAAACAAGACUGCUAAUUUUAUGAAACAACCUAUCAACCCACUGGGAAGAGAUGACAAGAGGUACAUGGGCGCUUCUGCAGGAGGUGGAGGUGGAGGUGAAAUGCCGAGGUUCUAGACUGAUGUAAAUUUCUCCAACUAACUCCAGAUCGAGAGCCUACAAAUCCGACAAAUAUGCCCACACUUUGACAGUAACCGCCUCCCAGCACGCCCCACCACCGCCAACACACAUGGAGGGGUUUGAACUUUUCCACCUUCCGGACCUCUGCAGUCCGUCGCAGGACGCCCAAACCACAGGCCGGACACAGAUGAAGCCAGACCACAGCCCCCGCCCCAGCCACCGCGGUAGGUGGGUGCCCAAGAGACUUCUCAGGUGAGGGCAGGGGCCCCCUGAAAGGCACUAGAGAAGGCCUGCCGCCCGAAUCUCCCCAAGUGCAGGGGAGAAUUACAUUUCCCCACCUCCUACCCAACCUGCCCCGGCCGAGUUAUGGACAUCGCCGCCUCAUUCUAGACUUGAAGGCACUCUGCGGCCACCAAGAGACCACUCCGCAUCCUAGGUCGAGCCUGUGGGAGAAGCACUCGGGGCCCGGGAGGCCGAGGCCUAAGGAAAGCAGCCGAUGGCUCCCAAGACAACUCUGUCCGGCCAGUACUCCAGGGCAACUUCAACCCCACUAGGACCCAGGCCAAAACCAUAUAUAUAUAUAUAUAUAUAUAAAUUAACGCAAAACAGAGCCACUUUGGUGCCUACCCCUCCACAAGUAGGUAGGCACAUCCAGGUAGCUCUGUCAGAAGAUGGGACCUGGCGCCUUGCAGGGGUAGCCCUAUGGAGAUCCAGAAGCCCCGUUUCGAGCUACGAAGUCUCUCUUCUACUGCAGUCUUCUCUCCAACGUGGAGAUCUAGCAACUUCCCUCCCCCUGGGAUUCCCUGUGAAUCCACUCUAGUUGGGAUAUAGCCUCUCUACAGCUCAGUGACGUAGCGCGCCAAAACCAAGUACCCACCCCGGCAACUGGAAGACCUAGCUGUCCUCCAUCCCGCCUCCGCAGUCGAUAAUCUCCAGGAUCCAAGCAAAGUGCCUGUCCACGUUGUCACCAGAUCCACAAGCGCUUUUGAUGAGAGCUGCUACCCUUUUGGAAACACGAUUCCCUCUCCCUAGUAGAGAAGAAUCUAUUCUUCUGGGCUGGCGUAGACAAAGAAUAACCAAGAUAAAGUAUGUGGUGUGAAAAUAUCAGCUGCCUCUUCUUUUUUUGUUUUUGAAACGGAGUCUCGCUCUGUCUCCUAGGGUGGAGUGCAGUGGCACUAUCUCUGCUCACUGCAACUUCCGCCUCCUGGAUUCAAGCGAUUCUCCUACCUCAGCCUCUGGAGUAGCUGGGACUAUAGGCGCCCGCCACCACGCCCGGCUAAUUUUUUGUAUAUUUAGUAGAGACGGGGUGGGGGGGUGUUUCACCAUGUUGGCCAGGCUGGUCACGAACUCCUGACCUCAAAUGAUCGGCCCACCUCGACCUCCCAAAGUGCUGGGAUUACAGGCGUGAGCCACCGCGCGCCGGGUGGAAAACAUUAGCUUCUAAUAGCAGUCUUGGAGUGGAGUGAAGACGUUCAGGAAGUGGUGGAGAUAGGCCUGCUCAAUUAACCGGCCCCAGAUAUCAUUUCUCUGGCUACCUCUUUUCUCGCCUGGCCUGGCCCUCUAUACCGUUUUUUGUUUGUUUGUUUUGUUUUGUUUUUUUUCUGCAAAACGUUUUCUGCUGCAACUUUCUCUUUAUUUAUGCCUUUAUCUUUCUUAAACAAGAGGUCCCUGGAAAUAACUAACUAAGGAGGGGAGAGGAACCCCCUCACCCCCAAUUUCAUGAAUGAGUGCUACAUUCAUGCUGGCCGGGUACCAAGAGCAUCUUUAGAUCUUUAGACCUGAGUCUUCUCAUCUGUGAAAAAGAGGUUAAAGCAGAUGAACCCUAAAGGCCCAUUUCCAGUCUUAAAUUCAACACUUUCAAGACAAAACUUUUCUUCUGUAUUCCUGAGUGUGUAUAUAUAUGUUAUGUAAUAUAUAUUAUAAUGUAUAUAUAUAAACUUGGCUUAGUAAUGUUCUGUGCUGAGAUGCAGAUGAGGAGGACAUUUUAAACUUCUAAGGGUGCCCUCCCUCUGGUUGUUUCCUCCCAGACGAGCAUUCUUUGUGGAACAGAAAGAGAUCCUCAGGGUGGAAAGCACCAGAGGCAGGUCUCCUGAAUACGGUGCUGUCCAAGUCUACUCAUGGUCACAUGAUUCAUUAGGACUGUAAAUCCUCAUCAGAACACAAGCAUCAGACUCUCUGACCCUGCCAAUUCAAGUACUAAUGGUAAAAUCGUCCAAGAGGCUGGCCAACAUAUGCACACAUUAAUUAGAGUUAUGUGGGCCUUUGGCUUCCAGUCUGAUGAACAGCUCCAGGGAUGCAGGGGGCAGAGGGUUUGGGGUCCUUUUCACCCAGCAGAUGCCCUUUGGUCCUGAGAGGGCAUUAGUCCAAUACAGUGGGUGAUCUGAAAGCUAACCCCUUUCAGAGGAUGGCUUAACCUCAGCAACUAGGCUAAAACCUAGCAGUGGGUCCCUAAGAGGGACAGGGGAAAAAAAUCUGUUCAGAGGAAAUGAGAAUCAGCAGUAAGCUUUUGUUGUUAUUACUUCAUCUUGUAUUAUUAUGAGACAGGAGUGGGGAGAAGCCCAAGGUGAAAGAAGAGAAAUUUUUGGUAUGCAUGGAAGACGUGGAUACUUAGCAACCCUCUCCCCUGGCACUCAAGUGCACACGCAGAGAAAGUAAUUGCUAUAUUCCAUCUAGAAGCUGAAAAUGCUUUCAACACCAUUUACAAGGAUAAGGGAAGGAGCAGCUGAGGGGAGCAUGGGUUUGAUUCAACUUAACUGCAAUUCUGGCCAGGUACCACAAGUCACAGAGCAUCCCAGAGAGCAGAAUCCCAGAGAGUGUCCCCCAUCCCUGGCAAGGGACACUAUGCAUGGCACUUUUCCUACAAGAUGUGUCCUUUUCUCCAUCCAUAUCUAACUCCUAUGUGGAGGAGAGUCAAGGUCACUCACAGUCUCUAUUAGACUUGGGGAGCAAGACCCCUCAGCCUCUCCAAGGGUCACAUUGAUGUAAAUGAAGGUGUCAUCCGCUCUUGUAGGGAACAGUCACCUCUGGCUUUACCUUCAUGCCUUUUUGAAUUGUAAAGGGCAAAAUGCCUGGAGUCUAUCAAGUCUACACAUAGUUAUUAUACUGCAAAAUUUGUCUCAAUUGUUUUGUGAUAAAUGUGUAUUUCCCAAUCCCCCACCUCCUUCCAUUAUAACCCAUAUGAACCAUCUAUGGACUAGAACAUAGCAAAAAACCUCUCUAUGGUAGGAGAAAAUGUAUUUAUUACUUAUAUGAUGCAAACAAUGUAGACCUUUUCAUUUUGAGUUGGAGAGAGGGGACACACAAAAAUUGAGAAGCCACAUUCCCACAAUUCUAGGCAGAAUUUGAUCUCACUUUUUUACUUCUUUUAUUUCUCUUUCUCCCUUUUUUCUUAUUCUUUGUCCUCAUCCACAGAGAAAAGACAAUCCAAUCUGGAGUCCUAGGGAUUGAUUAUUCCACAUUUGUCCCUAUCUUCUCUUUCCCAAGAGAAGAUCCCUUUGUUUCUGAGUUUACAUCAUGAAAGGAGUUUACAUCAUUACUCCCCCCUUUUUUAUUUAAACUUAAAGUACAUGAGUAACAAGAACUCUUACACCUAGGUAAAGCCUUGGGAAGGGAGCAAACUGCUCAGGCUGCUAAGGUGUAAGAGGAUGUAUGUGAAGGGGAGUGCUCUGAGAGGCAACCAUUUCUAGGGAAAGGUCUUGUCCUCUUAGUAACAACAACAAAAGAAGUCCAUUUUCAAACAUCUAUUAGACAAUGUCAAUCUUUCUUUUCAAUUGUAUGCUUAGCUUAGCAAAGAGAGUCAGGUGGAAUCUCACACCUUGCCCAAAUUGUAUUUGGUGUGAGGCUCUUCAAAGCUUCCAAGACACCAUCCUUCUCCUCUCCCCCUAUCAGUGGAACAGAUAAAACUGGAGCAACCUGCAUUAUUCUAAAACCAUAGAGAUGAUAUUUCUGUUUGCUUUUCUACUCAUUAGGAAGCUCUGAGAGGAUGCAUAAGAAAUGAAUCACAGUGGGUGAAGAAACUGGACAGACUUCAGUGGGUGAGGAAACUGGGGAGACUUUUCACAUGUACAUUUUGGGUAUUUUUAAACCAUGAGAAUUACUGCCUAUUCAUGAAAAAUUAACCUGAGUAGAAUAUAUAUGAGAGAGUUGCUGCUAAAUAUAUUCCACAUAAUACCACAUAUUGAGGAGGAGGAUGUUACCUACUGAAGAUAUGGGAUUGAAAAACAUGCAAUAACUUUCUGUUUUGCUCAAUGGGUCAUAAGUUGAAAAUUAGACUAGAAAAUAUUUGUUCAGAGAAGUACAAAAUCUUAGGUGAGGCAAAAUGCACACUAGUCCUCUCCUCCCUUAUCUUUCCAAAUGGGGAGACUUGUCAGUUUAAAGCCAUUUGCUCCUCCAGUUAAGUUCUAGGAUCGUAGACUUGGAGGACUGGCUGAGCCAUCAGUCCCAAGUGGAAAGGCUAAGCUAAGCAUACAACUGAAAAGAAAGAUUGACAUUGUCUAAUAGAUGUUUGAAAAUUGACUUCUUUUGUUGUUGUUACUAAGAGGACAAGACCUUUCCCUAGAAAUGGUUGCCUCUCAGAGCACUCCCCUUCACAUACAUCCUCUUACACCUUAGCAGCCUGAGCAAUUUUCUCCCUUCCCAAGGCUUUACCUAGGUGUAAAAGUUCUUGUUACUCAUGAACUUUAAGUUUAAAUAAAAAAGGGGGGAGUAAUGAUGUAAACUCUUUUCAUGUUGUAAACUCAGAAACAAAGGGAUCAACUAAGCAGGGUGUGGAACAAUCGACCCCUUCUACCCAUAGGUCAUUAAAUGGCUGCUGGAUGCCAAAAAGAUUUUAAGCUAGAACUGUUUUCCUUUUCAAGAAAUAUGCAAAUAAACAAACAAACUCUACCAAA